UGCGUAGGCGGAAUUUUAAGUCAGUGGUGAAAUCCUGCAGCUCAACUGUAGAACUGCCAUUGAUACUGAUCUUCUUGAAUUUAGUUGAGGUGGGCGGAACGUGUAAUGUAGCGGUGAAAUGCUUAGAUAUUACACAGAACACCGAUUGCGAAGGCAGCUCACUAAACUAACAUUGACGCUGAGGCACGAAAGCGUGGGUAGCGAACAGGAUUAGAUACCCUGGUAGUCC
rnacentral:rRNA from 1 species